rnacentral:lncRNA from 1 species
AGCGCUUUGAGUGCCACGUGUUCUGGUGUGAGCCUAAUGCAGCCAAUGUGUCGGAAGCUGUCCAGGCUGCCUGCAUGGAAAUUAUUGAUCCUGUCCUCCCUAGAAGAGUCCUAAAGAAGAGCAGAGUCUCCAUGAAUGUGCAAAGAGAAGACUGAUUUAGUGCAACAUACAUAGUAGGAGAUACCCAAGUGGUGACAGGAACCAUGUGCUGCUAGAGAUUAGAAAAUACCCUGAACCUCUUCGGAGCAAAGAGUUAGCCCAGAAAGUAGAAUGAGAGUGAAGGUUUUUGGCCUGAGCUCCCAUGGGAUGAAAUGGCAGCUCCUCUCUGAACAGUAGUAGGUUAGGCUGCACCCCAAGACACAUCCUUUAAAGAGAUUCGAGGUUCGUGUCUUGGUAAGGAGCAGUGCGGGCUUGUGGUUUAGAAAGCUGGGGAUGGGAAGUAGUACCCGGAACACGCUGAGCAGGGGCCCAGUCAGGAUCCUACUGUGCAGCUCUUGGCUAGACGAACUGGGAACCCUUGUGUCUGCCUCCUAUGUCCUGUGCUUUUCAAGAAUCAACUAGCAAAAACGCCCCAGAAUAUAAACAUAAACCUCUUGAAGUACAAAACUCAUUUUCUUCACUCAGAUUUUAAUGAAAAUAUAAAUCGUUAGCUAAAAUAAAACUACUAUGAAAACC